rnacentral:sRNA from 2 species
AUCAACCGGAGCACAGGAAGUGCUUCGGGAUCAAGGAUGAUCGGCCAUCAGCACGGAACGCUAUCGACAGGGAGUCGACAUGGUCUUGGGAAAACCCGCUUCGGCGGGUUUUU